CUCCAUGGUGACGCUGGCGGGGCAACCGAAAGGUUGGCCGGUUUCACUUGUGUCCGGUAUUCCUACCCCCGUCAGCGUCACCACCUGU
rnacentral:antisense_RNA from 1 species